rnacentral:rRNA from 1 species
GACGAACGCUGGCGGCGUGCUUAACACAUGCAAGUCGAGCGGUAAGGCCCUUUCGGGGGUACACGAGCGGCGAACGGGUGAGUAACACGUGGGUGACCUGCCCUCAGCUCUGGGAUAAGCCUGGGAAACCGGGUCUAAUACCGGAUAUGACUCCAUGACGCAUGUUGUGGGGUGGAAAGCCUUGUGCGGCUGAGGAUGGGCCCGCGGCCUAUCAGCUUGUUGGUGGGGUGAUGGCCUACCAAGGCGACGACGGGUAGCCGGCCUGAGAGGGCGACCGGCCACACUGGGACUGAGACACGGCCCAGACUCCUACGGGAGGCAGCAGUGGGGAAUCUUGCGCAAUGGGCGCAAGCCUGAUCCAGCCAUGCCGCGUGUGUGAAGAAGGCCUGGUGUAAG